GAGUUUUUUUAAUGCCUUAUGUAUUUAUAGUUAGUAUAUCUUUUAUGGGUUGAUAUACUAAAUUCACUAUAAACAAUGCUCUGAUACCAAUCUGUCACACCCCAAAACCAUUGAACGGUGGAAACGUUCUGGGGCGGAGGACGUCAUGUACAGUAUCACAAAAAUGAAAAGUAGUAAACAAGCAACAACAUCAUCCAUUGAAUUAGUAAUAUAAUUUUAAUACAAGUGUUUUAAUAUGUCUAAUAGACACUAAUGUAUAAAUCAAAAUGAAAGAUGAGUCUUGAUCGAGCUCCAUCUUCUCUAAACCUUUCAUCUGUACCUGUCUACUGUUGACCUGAGGAUACAAGUUAUCUUGAAAGAGAGUAUCAGCUUUAAAGCUGGUGAGAUCAUAAGCAUUUUAGUGUCUUAAUUUGUAUGUAAGUACUCGUAUGUAUUUGAAAUGUAAGUAUUUGUACGAAUGAACUGUAAGUAUUUGUAUGUAAGUACUCGUAUGUAUUUGAAAUGUAAGUAUUUGUACGAAUGAAACUGUAAGUAUCUGUAUGUAAAUGAACUGUAAAUAUUUGUAUGUAA
rnacentral:lncRNA from 1 species